AUCUGCCUUUUGCUGGGGUAUAGCCAAAAAAAAUUCUGAUUAAUCCCCCAUAACAUAAAUAUUCUGCAUGGAAUAUUUAUCAAAACUUAGGGGGCAAAAGAUGAGCAUGCGUCUGAUUAGUUAGUUGGUGGGAUAAUGGCCCUACCAAGACUUUGAUCAGUAGGGGGCCUGAAAGGGCGCACCUCCACACUGGUACUGAGAUACGGACCAGACUUCUACGGAAGGCAGCAGUGAGGAAUAUUGGUCAAUGGAGGAAACUCUGAACCAGCUAUGCCGCGUGUAGAGAUGAAGGCCUUUUUGGUUGUAAACUACUUUUGUUUAGAAAUAAAAAUUUCUACGUGAUAGGAAUUUGAAGGUACUAUACGAAUAAGUGUCGGCUAAUUCUGUGCCAGCAGCCGCGGUAAUACAGAAGACACAAGCGUUAUCCGGAUUUAUUGGGUUUAAAGGGUGUGUAGGUUGUUUAUUAAGUCAGUAGUGAAAGCUUACAGCUUAACUGUAAAAUUGCUAUUGAUACUGGUAUAACUUGAGUAAGAUUGGAGCAUCUGGAAUGUAUGGUGUAGCGGUGAAAUGCAUAGAUAUCAUACAGAACACCAAUAGCGAAGGCAGGUUGCUAAAUCUUUACUGACGCUGAAAUACGAAAGCGUGGGUAGCAAACAGGAUUAGAUACCCUGGUAGUCCACGCCCUAAACGAUGAUCACUAGCUAUUGGAAAAAACUAUAUUCAGUGGCUAAGCGAAAGCGAUAAGUGAUCCACCUGGGAAGUACAGUCGCAAGAUUAAAACUCAAAGGAAUUGACGGGGGUCCGCACAAUCGGUGGAGCAUGUGGUUUAAUUCGAUGAUACGCGAGGAACCUUACCAAGGCUUAAAUGUAUUCCGAAUAAGCUAGAAACAGCUUAGUCUAUACGACGAAAUACAAGGUGCUGCAUGGUUGUCUUCAGUUCGUGCUGUGAAGUGUUUGGUUAAGUCCUAUAACGAACGAAACCCCUAUUUUUAGUUGCCAUCGGGUAAAGCUGGGGACUCUAAAAAAACUGCCUGUGUAAACAGUGAGGAAGGUGGGGAUGAUGUCAA
rnacentral:rRNA from 1 species